UACGGAGGGGGUUAGCGUUGUUCGGAAUGACUGGGCGUAAAGCGCGCGUAGGCGGAUCAGGAAGUUGGGGGUGAAAUCCCGGGGCUCAACCCCGGAAUGGCCUUCAAAACUCCUGGUCUUGAGUUCGAGAGAGGUGAGUGGAAUUCCGAGUGUAGAGGUGAAAUUCGUAGAUAUUCGGAGGAACACCAGUGGCGAAGGCGGCUCACUGGUCCGGUUCUGACGCUGAGGCGCGAAAGCGUGGGGAGCAAACAGG
rnacentral:rRNA from 1 species